rnacentral:tRNA from 1 species
UCCGCCAUAGUGUAACGGCAGCACGGCAGCCUUUGGAGCUGUUCGGUCCAGGUUCGAAUCCUGGUGGCGGAGCCG